GCAGAAUUGAUUUCUUGUUCCUUGCUUAAUGAUGGGAGAAGGUACUGUGGAGCAGAUACUCUCCUCCUCAGGAAACCUGUGGGGCUGGGCUGAGAUUCCUCAUUGAGUAUGACCAUGCUCAGUUGAAGCAGUGGGUGCUUGUAGAAACGCAGCUGAUCUGCUGCCGUUGACGAUGAUGGAUGAUAGCCUUGGACUCUCAACUUUGUAGCCCAACAGACAACCUUGUGAAUUCAGAUGUCAGACAGAGUGCACAGAGAAAGGCCUUGCAGUUUAUUGCUGGAGGAAAGCAGAACAAAGCUCACCAGCCUUCUCAAUAUUCUCCAACCCAGAUAUAGUAACUUCCAUAGACUAGAAGAGCACGAUGGAGGGCAGGUAAAAGCAACUUCCUUACCACAUUUUCACUCUGUUCCUUUUCCAUUUGGGCAAUUAUAGCUGUAGGGAUAUUUGUGUCAUCCAGUAGCAUAUGAUAAAAGCUAAGAACUAAAAUGUGUCUUUGACUCACCCUGAUGAACGUUGAACCGAGUGAGUCAUAGCAGCAGUAGAGGAGAGAGGAACUCAGAAAGCAUACACGAUCUCAGGCUGCAUGUCUACAACAUUUUAUGGUAUAGCAUAAUAAGAGAAAAUGCUUCUGGCCACUGGCUGAAAGAACUACUUGCUUCUAUGGAGGGGAGAGGCUUACUAAGCACAGCAGCACCCCCAGUGGAUGGGCAGAGUUUCCCAGGGCACUGAAGUUAGUAAGGUAGAUAAAGAUCAACUGAAGAAGAGAGGUGUGGUCUGCUGAGGCUGGGGGGCAGGAAAGAUCAACACCUGGUGGAGAGCCCAGAAGGGACCGAGUUCAGUAGAGAACAAAGUAAUGACAUCAUGAAAAAACAUUGACAGCCUAUAGGACCAUAGAAAAGAGUUGUUCUUCGUUUUGUUUUUCCUGGCCACACAGCACACACAGGAUCAUGUUCAUGUGUGCAUAGACUUACAGUUAGAAGAGACCUUAAAGGUCAUCUAGUACAACCCCUGGCUCCUUCAUUUGUUUCACAGUCUGGGCUCCAGAAGGAGGGAACCUGUUUUAGAAGUCAUCUAGUCCAACCCCAUCCUUGGGAUCCAGAGAGGGGAAAUGACUUGCUGGAAGUCACACAUGAAGGACUUAGCAGAGGCAAAAUUCAAACGUGGGUCUUGUGACUUCAAAUCCUGAGCUCUAUCGUGACUACCCCGUUUGAUGUUGAAAAAGUGCUAGUUCUUUUAAAGCACAUUUUUAUUGAUAAUUUAGUUUUUACAUCAUAUCUACCCCUUUUGUAUUCUUUUUCCCUCCCAUAAAGCAAUCCAUUUAUAGCAGGGGAACAAAGGGGAACAUGUCUAGGUUUUAGGGGGCCUAUGAAUUUGGGUAGAAAAAUAUUUUCACCAAUCUCCAACUGAAAUUAAGUAUUUCCUUUAAUUAUAAAUGUUGACAUCCAACAUUAUUCGGAGAAGAGAUCCAGAUACUUCAUCAUACUACCAAAGGAGUCCAAUGAUGUAAAAAGGUCUUUGCCUUCCUCCUGGCAAAGAAUAAAAAAGAGGAAAAAAGAACA
rnacentral:lncRNA from 1 species